UGUUGCGGCAGCAGCGGCGGUGGCAGCAGCGGUGCUGACAUUGGGACAGCGGUGUCAGGACAGCGGUGGCAGCAAGAGCUGCAGGACUGGCAGAGGGCAAGGCACCAUGGCCCUUGCUCUGCGCCUCUUCCUCCCGCUCCUCCUGGCCGCGGCCCUGCCUGCCAGGGCUGCCCAGGCUGCUCCGCUGCAAGUGCGGGGAGCAGAUGAGCAUGCUAGGAAGGCUUCUCCAGCAGCUUGGCUCCAUGCAGAUUUCCAGCCUCUUAAGCCUCCUGCAGGUGUGUCUGCAGGGAGGACUUUCCCA